CUUAACUUUACUGAAUACAGAAUCAUACAAGCUUCAUAGUUAGGCCAGAAAUUCUGAAAUGAAACCCAUUGGUGGUAAGAAAAUACUGGCAGGUCUGUGCCUGGAGGAUAGGUCUUAAAAUAAAUUAUAGAGAAAAUCAAGGCAAUUAAAUCAAAGCCACGUCAGUCACGUCAAACAAGGCGGCCAGCAUUUGACUCAUGAAUAUGCAACGAAUGGAUGAGUGUGGCAAGGAGUGUUGUCGGAUGAGUGCGAGUGUUUGGAUGUUCGAGUGUUCGACUGUUUGAGUGUGUAUGAAUAGACACCGGAGAAAGGGACUCGGCCAAAUGGGGCAGCGUUUUCGUGAUUGAAUUCAUUGAUGAACAACAACACUAGGGCGGGAGACACAGCUACUUCGUUUAUGCGCAGACGAAUUUCCAGAACUAACAUCUAAAGGUUAUUACAAAUCUUAGGAAACCAAAACCUAGCCCCUUUCAAUCUUCCUUUUCAACUGAUUAUGAGCAACUUUUAUGGUGUCAUGGACCAACCAUGUUUCAAGGAUUGGCACCCUCCGCAUAAACUGGUUACCAGAGGCGGAGCAGAGUUGAUGACAGUCAUCAGGAUUACAAUGCACGUGAUAUAGGUCAAUCCUGGGAUUUUUACCUGCAUUUAUAUACCAUUUAGGCUGUAGCAAACAGGAAUAUUGUAGAUGUAUUUAUUUGGGAAACGCUAAAUGUGAAUUCAUGUGAAUUUCAG